rnacentral:rRNA from 1 species
GACAGAGGUGCCGAGCGUUAGGCGGAAUCACUGGGCUUAAAGCGUGUGUAGGCGGGUCGUUAAGUGUCCGUGGGAAAUCCCCCGGCUCAACCGGGGAACGGCCGGGCAUACUGGCGACCUUGAGGCACCCAGGGGCUGUCGGAACAAGCGGUGGAGCGGUGAAAUGCGUAGAUAUCGCUUGGAACGCCGAAGGUGAAAACAGGUCGCUGGGGAUGUGCCGACGCUGAGACACGAAAGCCAGGGGAGCAAACGGG